UCCCGUCCUCCCUUCGGUGAGCCGGGUCUCACGGCUCGCGCUUUCUGUCGGGGCCAAAGGUCGGCGCGCUCCGCUUUGGUGACACUGGAUAACUCACUGGUCGAUCGCACGGGCUUCCACGCCCGGCGACGGGUGCCUCGAGGGUGCGCCCUAUCAACUGUG
rnacentral:rRNA from 1 species